UUCAGUAGAAAUCUUAACUGGAGUGCUGAAAUGUACGUCUGAAACCCUUCAACUAACUCGGGGGAGACUUACGAUGAUAGUUUGACUUUUAACCCAUGGAAAAACGCAGAAUUAAAAAGGAUUAAAAUUGCAUCUGAUGGAAAGAUGUUGUUGGACAGGUGUUUUCCUCUGCUAUUUCCAUGGGAGAAGGUGGUUUUUAGUUUGAUUAGGCUUGGAUGUUAAUAAAUAUUUAGUUUCAUUUCUAGUUGGGGGCUGUUUUCUGUGAAAUCUCCCAGGAUCAGUCAUGGGUUUUUCUGUCUCCCUGAUGAUUCUGAAAUCCCCUCUAAGUCAAAACACUGCAAGCAAUUCACAGCUUCCUCUGGUUUCAGCUGAAGCUCCCUGCCUGCGCCACAGGUAACCGGAGAGCAAAUUUCCGUGGGUGUCACAACAAUACUGAAAUUUCUCCAGGUCAGUGUUAUACAAGUUCCUUAUGCUCUCUGUGACUUUCUCUCUUUGCAUUUCAAUAGUUACAGACAAGGUUUCACAUCCUUCCAGUUGCAGCUUUCAGAGACAUGACACAAUUAACUAAGCUCUUUAAGUGGCUCUCUAAUUUCAGGGUGGUUUGCCUGACAUUGAUGGUGUAAUUUAAAACCACAAUUCUGAGCUUUUUCUUAUUAUUUCUUUUAGCACACAUUUCCGUAACCUACUUGAAUCAUACAAAAGGAAAGAAAAAAUAAUUUCUUAUGGCUGAUUUUUUUUUUUUAACUGAAGAUUUAACUUACUGGUAACAAUUGUAUGAACCUCACUUAUGCACCACACAACAUUGCAAACAGGUGGAUUUGUCAACACAUGUAAUGUGGGGUUUCUUGUACUUUCCGGUGAUGUGUCUGGUGGUUCUAGUCAGAGGUAGCAUUUUAAUCUGGAUGAAAUGGGUCUAGUCCAAUACAGGCAGACCCACGUCUGGUUUUGACCAAGUCAUUCCACCUUCCAGGGCUUAGUUUCCCAUCUAUAAGAUGAGGAUCAUGUGUUGGUCUCUUUUUAAAGUGACACCACAUUUACAGAGAUGAAGUGCUGCUAAAGAACAUUUUAUUAUCUAGUCCUGCAUCCCUGGAGCUUGGAUUAAGGUGAAGGUGUUUGCUUCGUGCUCAUUGUUCUUUCUGAAAUAUCUGCUUUGUAUUUAUUUUUAGAAAAUGGCAUGGAUUUUGAGGUUCAAGAAAACAUUGGCUUCCUGCACUUGAGAGCAGCUGUCUCACUUUGUUGACCCUUCACAGCAUCAAGCUGUCUCAGCUACAGGAGAGUUUUCAGCAUGACUCAUCCUGGAAUUGCAGCUCCCAAAAAUAUGCAUCAGGGGAGCAGAACUGGAAGCUCUGUGGGGGAGGCUGUUAUUGAAAUAAUUUCCUUUCAUGGAGAGGAGCGACAUCCACAUUGUGUGUUGCUGGAGAAGACUAGAGAGGAGAACCGCAUGUCCCAUACUCAGCAGGAAAUGCUGUGAGUCCAGACUACUGCCUGUGUGGUGGCUGAGAGCACCCAGGUAGCUGGUAGGACAACCUGGGCUUAGCCUGCGUCUGCUUUGGAGAGGACAGUGUUGGGAUGCUGCUGAGCAAGACUGUAGGUUAUCUGCAUCUCCAUGGGGGAGUGGGAAAGCACAGUGACUCCUACAUUCUGCAGCUGCUUGGGUUUGCCCAGCUCACAGCCAAGGAAUGAGGGGAGAGAGCUGAAAGCAGUGGGAGAGAGGUGCUAGGAAAGGAUGGUGAAUUUGGGAUUGGCUGCAGCAUAGGGGAUGUGUGAGAGGGGGCUGUGACAUUCAGUGACAUGCUAAGUCAGACUGGAUGUUUCUUCCUGCUCACAAGAAACUAAGCUGUGUGAGCUUCCCACAGCACUUGUUCGUGAUGUGUGCCAGCAGUGAGGCGCUGCAGCGUGUUCUGCUGCUCAUGUGCCAAGUGAAAAUAACCCCCGUGUGCCAAUCAGUGCCAACAAAUCACCAAGGUGUCAGUGGACGGUCUCCAGUACCUCCAACCCUUCCCAGAAUCCAUGGUAUAUCCAGGCCUCUUGUCCUUGGUCUAGCAAAGCUGUGUAUUCAUGCUAAAACUGGCUCUGAUAACACAACUUCUUUGGACACAGCCUAAAUUAAAACAAACAAACAAACAAACAAACAAGAAAAAGCGCCAACAACACAGUUUUAGCAAAAGUUUAUUGUGUGUCCAAGAAGAGUACAACAUCCAGACCACACUGAAGUUCUAUGAAUACGUACUGGACUGUUGAAAAGGGUUCUGUGGGCCACAAAGUAAAACUUGGGAUGCUACUCCCAAAUUAGGUUGUAUGAAAAUUUUCUGCAGACCCAGCAGCCCAAAAUGUUCAAAGGGUUUCUUGCUGCAUUUCCCCAUCCCCACUCAUCAUUUUUCCAUACCUUUCCAUUCCUCUCCCAGCCGUCUGCAGAUGAUGGAGCAAGAUCCAAGUAUUAAUUUUCUCCCAAAGACCAGGAGCAAUUGUUCUUUCCUCUGCUCAGGGAUAACAAACCAAUGUCAUGUUUUCCAGUGGCACUGUGGUCUAAAAUAGUGCCAGCACCAUCAUUAAUGCUGCUCUGCCAUCAUUCCCGUGUUGCAACACAAUCUGAAAGGACAUAACCCUUUUUUGUUCCCAUAAACUGAAAGAAAAACACAUGCACUGCUGUGACAGGGAAAAUCCUGGGAUUGUGUCAAAACAGAGACAGAAGAGCAUAAGAAAGAGAUAAGAAUUGAAACUUUUAUUCUGGUAUAGAAUAAAUAAGUUCUCCGUUUUCUUCUGAUGACCAGACCUGAAAGGUAUGUAGCACUGUAGGUCAGGACCAUUCUUAGUGAGAGACUAGCGCUUACCUCCAUCUGCCACCAAUUCAGGGGCUCAGAACAUUUCAGGCUAAAGGAGGGGCACGUGGAGGGACCUGCUGAGGGACCCCCUUGGGCAGGUGGGGUUUUUCAGUGUCUGCUGGCGAAGGUCGGCCCAUCCGCUGCUGCUCAUGCACAUGGAGCUCUGCGCUGCGCACACGGGGUGGGCAGCAGAGGGGCUCCCAUAGCAACAUUCAGUGAGUGGUUGUGACCCCUUCCUGGGCAUCCACCCCUCCCUGCUCAGGUGCCCCUCUGCCCCAGCACAAUUUUGCUGCCGCUGGUGGCAACAAUCCAAACAUUCUUCUCUUUAGCCCCAAAGUAUAUGAGGCUGAGGGCUAGAAAACAGCCAGAUGAGGCAUUUUAAGACACAAAUAUUGCCAUAUAUAACAACUGGUUACUAAUAUGACACAGAGGGUUACCUCAGACAGGUGUAGUGACACAGCAUACUACCGUAAUGCUCUGGUCAUCUCAUUCUGCCCCCUUGAUUUCAGUAAUAUGGGGAAAUGAAAUACUUUACCUUCCCUUGUGUCCCUGUACUGUUGUGCUUUCUGGCUUCGUGCAAAGCACCACAAUUGCUGCACAAAUCCUGCUUAGAGCAUUCCACGUUUUCUCCUCACACACAUUUGCGGAGCACAGCAGGCCUCUGCAAUGCGGCCAGUAUUCUUAUCCACUUUGCUACAAGUGGUUUUACAGGAAGGACCAUCUGGUCGUCAGCUGCCCAAAUGCGCAUUUGCCUGCCCUCCUGCACCUGUUCGGUGUGGAAUGCAGGCUCUCCCUGCUGGGAGCUCCCCAUCAGAGCCCUUCCUGAGCCAGCGGGUGAGAGGACGCAGCACAUCCCCUGAGAGAGCAGAGGGUACAGACACGUCUUUGAGAUCUCUGUUCUUAAGGAGGAAUAAAUCCCAGCUUAUCUUCAACAUGGAGGUGACAUAGGGGACCAGAAGGUUCGCACUAUUCCAGGCAACUUCAUCCGUGCUCAAAUGGGAAGGUCAGGUCUGGCAUGUGAGCUGAUGUCGCGCACAGCAGGCAUGUGCAUCGCUCAUGAUGUCACCAUGUUCUGGGAAGCUCAUUUAUCCAAAGCUCUUUGCCAUUUAAGAGAUGUUUUUAUCCACAGUCAUUCCCAGGUGAGCCAACGAGGUACCUGCAAGUCAGAUCUGGAUUUCUCUGUGCAAACUGAGCCAUCAACCUGUAAAAAUCGCCUCAGUGACCUGUUUUGGGACUGCCCCAACGUACCCGCAUGUCUGUACUGGACAGGCAGGACCACAGCCACAUGCUCUCAAAAACGUUCAGUACCGCAAGUGUAACUGCUAAGCCACCUUCACUGAUGCCCAGUUAAGGAAGAAAGCCUUAAAAUGAGUUUGGGUUUAUGUUGAAAGCUUUCAGGGAGACCGGUGCUGCUUGUUGCAGGCAUCUCUUUCUCUUCACAUCCCUGACUUCCCACUAGAGCUACAUUUUACUAGAAUAAUGAACCUGAAUGUGAGAGUCAGAUGCAAAUCGGGGAUGGAGGAGUUCCAGCCCAUGGGGAUUAUCUUUUUGAUUUGACUGUCAACAAGAUCUUGACAUACAAUAUACAAAUUAUCAAAAGAUUGCCUUCAGAGAAAGGUGAGGGAGAAACAUCUGCAAUUUGUUAUUAAUUUUUGUGAAGUAUCCUGUUACUAUUCUAAAGGAACUAAGGGUACCUAGCACAAAAUGGCUUCAAGGUCAGCAAAAAUUAAGAGCAGGGUUAAACAGCAUGCAAUUUAACAAUGAAAUAGCUGUAGCUGUCAUUAUCAGGCAGAAAAAAAUGACAUGGCCAUAUACAGGGUGGAUGAAGCAAUAUGCCUGCCAGACCAAACAGUUGCCUGUCACUAUACUGCAGUCAUAACUCAAGAAAAUCAUUUGAAAAAAACCCCAAACCUGUCUAAAGAUCGCACAUAGGUACUGUAGAACUUGCAAGUGAAAGCCCUGGUGGGUGGGAAAUAGGCGAAAAGCAGGAUGUUCCCUGAGCUCAGCAACAUUUGCCAUUUGCUUGUGGAUCUUCUAGGAGACGGUGAAAUUUUCCCCAGCUAGAAACACACCAUCCUUUGUUCUUUAACCCCUCACGAGGGAGUCACACAGAUGAAGGCUUUGCUGAGCAAAUAUAUGUAUUUCUUUUCUGGUCAGACAGUUUAAUCUUGGUAUUGGCUCCCUCUCUUUCAGCAGCACACUGAAUGAAGACAGCUUCAUUGUUAGUUUGACGCACUUCACCCUUUCCUUAUUAGGAAAAUAAAACCUCACAGAUUCCUAGGUUUUGAGAUAUUUGCUGUCAGCCGGGUAUAAAUAUAUCCAGCGAUACACUUUUGGCUAUAUGAUGCUUUAGGCAUUUGUUUGGGAGGUGUACAGGCAGAAGGAAUGUAAAGUUUUAGCCUCAGCCUUCUUCUCAUUUUAAGGGAAGCCAGCUCGCAUUUACGAGGUGCCGGGGAUGUCCCUUUCCCUGAGCAGUGUUUUGGAAGGACACGGGCAGCAGAAGCCCUGUGGGUCCUGCUCCCUCACCGCAACCCUCCCUUGGAGAAGGAAGCGAGUAGCUCGCACCUCGACACCCUCAGCUUCUCUGCUGUCACCACCACAACGCCGACACAUUCAACUUUAUCUGCCUAAUGGUAUCAUGCCUAAAGCAGCUGGUUAGGCAGCCUUUAAAGUUAAUGGAGAAGACUCACUUAAAACUUCCUCCCAUUCACCAUCUGUAAUGAAGAAUUCAUCUCCAUGUACUAAGACAGACUACUUUUCAGAGGCAUCUCCCUCCGUUGCAACUGAUUAUGAAGCAAGCACAGAUGGUUAGAUAAGUCACUUAAUUUUAAAGCAGCAGAUUAGGAGAGAGUCCCCGUGUAAGCAGUAGUUCAAUAUCUGGCUUCUGGAACUAAGCUGACCACCAGUUCACUUCAUAGCUCACCUGAUUUUGCCAGAGACUAACAUUUGAAAAUUACAACUGUGUUGUGAUGGCCAGGUAUGUCAGCUUUAUUUUAAAUUAAUUUGUUAUGCAAGGACCUUAAAAAUGGCAACAUUAAAAUAUGUGAUUUUUUACAGGCCUAAGACUAGACCUGACUGAGAGGCUUAAUGCCUGGAAGAUGCAUGUCAAGUUCUUACUGCUCUAAGCUUUAAUUGGCACUUUUUAUGUUCUUCAAGGGAAAAAAAAAUAAAUCUGUUCUCACAGUAGAAAAAUGCAGAGAGAUGAUGAAUAUUUCUGAAGAAAAUAUAUAUGGUCAAAGUUAUUCAUCAGCUUCAUUUCCAGAGGACGGGAGGCCAAUAUCUGCACUGCCCCGCGGCUUUAUAAGCCAGUAACUUCAGCCUAUCCUGCAAGGGUGUCAAGAAGGGUUUCCAAGGUAAUUAAGUUCUUGCAAGCUCUGUGGCUGGGAAGGAGGUGCAAAUAAUGCCACCGGGGGGAAAGAUGGGCAGAAAGAUGUCCUGUCUCUUGCCUGGUGGAGAUAAUGUCAAUCAACCAGGGAACAUGGAGAAAGACACCAGAUCUACAGGAGGUGUAAGAUAUUCAUAGGAAACAGGACUUCAUUCUGCUCUUCACAGCACUUGUUUUAAACAGAGCUCUUUUCUCAGGAUUUGCCCAAACCUAAUUUUAUAAUUAUGAUUCAAUUUCUACUGUGUCACCCUUUCUGCAGCAGAAGUCCUUGGGAAGAUGACACAUGGGCUGCAGUCCCCAAGAUGCAAGAUGAGGGAUGGCCACACCAACAGCAGAACGCGGACUGCACAUCUCAGCUGGUGUGACACGAAGCACCAACCACCAGCAGCGAAGCAAAGGUAUUUUCAUAUUGCAUGUUAGAAAAGCAUGAAAGCAACCGCAAUUUUUUAUGUUUUUUGAUCACCAUUGGCACACAGAAAGACAUCUCGAAUCAUUUCCUUAUCCUUUGACAUGCUUGAUGCUAUGUUAGAGACAGAUGAAUGAUUAGAAAACCCACAGAACUUCCAAAUUCUUCCAAUUCCAAAUAGCAAAGACACAGCUUCGCUAUUUUUCUGACACUUUAGAACAAGGUGUUGUGGUCUUUUUAAAGUAACAAAACCAAAAUAAGUGUCGUAAACAGACAUGUAAGAUGUCUGUCACUACAGACCAUUGGAAUUUGUGAUCAUUUAUUGCAGUGAACUGAAAAAGUAGUGAAGUUUUAUACCAGCAUUCUGUGGUCUUUCACAAACAUCUGCUACCAUAAAGGGUAGUUUUAUUCUGAUUCUACUAUAUAGUAAACCUUGUAUUUUAACUAAGUAAAAUCAACACUGAAAUACGUACUUUUCAAACAAGGCAAUAUAUAGCAAACAUUUUCUUUAACUGUAGAGUGCAACUUCAUAUAUUUUGUAAUCAAAGUAAUUACAGAGCAACUCCUUCAAACAAUAACAGCUUCAUAAUGGUAAUAGUGCACCAAAGAUGUCUACGCAAACUAGCAGAAACAAGUUUAAAAAAGAAAAUCUACUGGAGAAACACAACAUGCAGCUUUUUAGCCAAGAAACUAGUACUAGAAGAAUUUGCACACACAGCCAGAACAAUUCUCCUUUGUCUCCCAGAAAUUUAACAGAAAAUGGAUACAACCCCUGCUGUUUUACACUGUCAUACUAACAAGAAGAGCUACAAAAAUAGAUUCAAUCAGUAUUUAUGAUAAAAACAUACCUGUGGCUAAUCUAAUGGCUGAUACCACAAGUCUGCUUCACCUUAAUGCUGUAUCCCAGUGAACUGCCAAUAUUAAUCAUCUGGGAAGAGAAGGAAGACACCACUGAGAAAGUGCUGAUGUGCUGCUUUCCUCACUGCACACACUGCAAGAAAAUGAACCAGAAAAGAUCGUUUAUGCCCUACAGUAUCAUCUUAUUGGUUGUUGCAUUCAAACCACAUUUUGUUUUGACAAAUACCACAAGUGAUUUUGCAGCACUGCAGGACAUUAUUUUGGACUUAGUGGUACCCAAGCCCAGGACUUCUCUUUUUGGUAAAGGCCGGUUUGCGAGACAACGCAGAAAGGCCCCUUGGCAUUCACCCAGUGGCCACCAUGUGUUAUCAGAGCCAUGAAGAUGAUCAAGGGAGUGGAGCAUCUCCCUUAUGAAGAAAGGCUGAGGGAGCUGGGUCUUUUCAGUUUGGAGGAGACUGAGGGGUGACUUCAUUAAUGUUUAUUAAUAUGCAAAGGGUGUCACGAGGAUGGAGCCAGGCUCUUCUCGGUGACAACCAGUGAUAGGACAAGGGGCAGUAGGUACAAACUGGAACACAAAAGGUUCCACUUAAAUAUGACAAGAAACUUCUUCACAGCGAGGGUGCCAGAGCACUGGAACAGGCUGCCCAGGGAGGUUGUGGAGUCUCCUCUGGAGACAUUCAAAGCCCACCUGGACACCUUCCUGUGUAACCUCAUCUAGGUGUUCCUGCUCUGGUGGGGGAAUUGGACUAGAUGAACUUUCAAGUUCCCUUCCAAUCCCUAUCACUCUGUGAUUCUGUGUGAUUCUGUGAUCUUGCCCAAACUUUCAGUUUCUGAUCUCUUACUGGCACAUUCCCUAACAAAAUUAAGCAAAUACUUUGUGGCUUCUGGCACUGGCCUGGGAUGUGGUAAGAAGGGCCUGAAGCUCCUCCAGACUGAAGGGGAACCCUCAAUUUCCCGAGUGCCAACUCCUUGGCAGCUGUUUACAACACUAGUUAGCAGGAGCCUUUUUAUUUUUUGAAAGCAAGCAAACCCCUGCCUUUGUGAGGCACUUGGUCUUGUGGGUACAGCCAGCACCCUCAGAAGCAGCUUCCAAACUCAGGUGUUCCACGGGUGCAGACAGCGAGUGCCUAGAACUCUCCUGAGCUCCAGCAAAGACAACUGCCUGUGGCUCCAACAGAGGCACCAUCGCCCACCUGAGAGCAGCCCCUGACCACAAAGCAGGGGAGAUGGAAGAUAAUGAACUGAAACAUAAAGAAAACCAUGGAAAUGUGAGACAAGUUCUUUAUAUGCUAAAUCAACAAGGCACAGUUCUGCAGGCAGGGAGGGAGGACUGCAGCUGCCGUCUGCUGAAGUGCCAAUUGAGAGCUGAAAAUCAGGAGUGCCAAGCAAUGGAACCCCGUAAACAUUCAUGGAGCGUGUGCUGGGAAGGGUAAAACCUGGUAAGAGAAGAUAAUUAACUCAUGCAACAAUCCGUGGAUGAGAAUACGGUUUAGAAUUCAAAAAUAAAAUAACUGCGGUGGUGUUACUGCCUCUUUGCUAAUUAAGAUGUUAAGCCUAUUAAUAGUGAUGCAAAAAAGGCAGAAGUUUCCAAUUAAAAUUUCUGCUUCCUAUCUGAAAA